CCGGGAAACCGAGGCUAAUACCGCAUGACAAACCUUCGACUUCGGUCGAGGAUUUCAAAGCCGGCCUCUACAUGUAAGCUGGCGCUUGAAGAGGGGCCCAUGUCCCAUUAGCUAGUUGGUGAGGUAACGGCUCACCAAGGCGACGAUGGGUAGCCGACCUGAGAGGGUGAUCGGCCACACUGGGACUGAGACACGGCCCAG
rnacentral:rRNA from 1 species